rnacentral:tRNA from 1 species
GCGCGAUUAGCUCAGCGGUAGAGCGCCUGCCUUACAAGCAGGAUGUCGCUGGUUCGAACCCGGCAUCGCGCAUCA